rnacentral:misc_RNA from 1 species
ACGCCAUCGGGGUUUAAUCUCCAGCUCCGGGCACAAAUGAAGACAGUGACGACUAGCUUCGGCUUUGGCUUUGGCUUUGGCUUUGUGUUGUGAAGUGAAUANAGAAGGUGUCGUUUUGUACGCGUGAUUUGCGUGACGCGGAGUUGCUAGGGCUGCGACUGCGAGUUUUAUGCAGCGAUUAGGAGUCUGUCUCUUGUUGCCCAAU